CCUACGGGUGGCAGCAGUGAGGAAUAUUGCACAAUGGGGGAAACCCUGAUCCAGCGACGCCGCGUGAGUGAAGAAGUAAUUCGUUAUGUAAAGCUCUAUCUGCUGGGAAGAAAAUGACGGUACCUGAGUAGGAAGCCCCGGCUAACUACGUGCCAGCAGCCGCGGUAAGACGUAGGGGGCAAGCGUUAUCCGGAUUUACUGGGUGUAAAGGGAGCGUAGACGGUAGUGCAAGUCUGGAGUGAAAGGCGGGGGGUGAAACCCCGGAGUGCUGUGGAAACUGGACGGCUGGAGUGCAGGAGAGGUAAGUGGAAUUCCUAGUGUAGCGGUGAAAUGCGUAGAUAUCAGGAGGAACACCAGUGGCGAAGGCAGCUUACUGGACUGUAACUGACGUUGAGGCACGAAAGCGUGGGGAGCGAACAGGAUUAGAUACCCCAGUAGUC
rnacentral:rRNA from 1 species